GUGCAAGGAUGCAGUCAUCAACACAUCACUCUGAAAACAUGUGAAAGAUUUCUGUCUGAGCACA
ensembl:snoRNA SNORD63 Small nucleolar RNA SNORD63